AGUGAACGCUGGCGGUAGGCCUAACACAUGCAAGUCGAACGGCAGCACAGUAAGAGCUUGCUCUUACGGGUGGCGAGUGUCGGACGGGUGAGGAAUACAUCGGAAUCUACUUUUUCGUGGGGGAUAACGUAGGGAAACUUACGCUAAUACCGCAUACGACAUACGGGUGAAAGCAGGGGAUCUUCGCACCUUGCGCGAUUGAAUGAGCCGAUGUCGGAUUAGCUAGUUGGCGGGGUAAAGGCCCACCAAGGCGACGAUCCGUAGCUGGUCUGAGAGGAUGAUCAGCCACACUGGAACUGAGACACGGUCCAGACUCCUACGGGAGGCAGCAGUGGGGAAUAUUGGACAAUGGGCGCAAGCCUGAUCCAGCCAUACCGCGUGGGUGAAGAAGGCCUUCGGGUUGUAAAGCCCUUUUGUUGGGAAAGAAAAGCAGCAGGUUAAUACCCCGCUGUUCUGACGGUACCCAAAGAAUAAGCACCGGCUAACUUCGUG
rnacentral:rRNA from 1 species